GGCAGGAGUCCCAGGCAGAGUGGGGCCGGCUCAGCCCAGGGUAGAAUCUCUCCUUGCCCUUCCGCAUCCCCAGCCCAGCUGCAGACAAAGUGAGGGAGGACUCAUUUUCCCUGGGGAUGUAGGACCCGAUUCAUUCAUUCAUGUGUUCAAGGGGAGGUGACCAAGGACUUCACGGUCCUCUAGGAGCUGGAAUGUUAUGAUACAGGGGUCUCGACUGGCAGUGUGGGGUGGGCCAGGGUGAUGAGUAAAGGCCCCAAAGACUUC